rnacentral:rRNA from 1 species
CAAUGGACGAAAGUCUGACGGAGCAACGCCGCGUGAGUGAAGAAGGUUUUCGGAUCGUAAAACUCUGUUGUUAGGGAAGAACAAGUGCCGUUCGAAUAGGGCGGCACCUUGACGGUACCUAACCAGAAAGCCACGGCUAACUACGUGCCAGCAGCCGCGGUAAUACGUAGGUGGCAAGCGUUGUCCGGAAUUAUUGGGCGUAAAGCGCGCGCAGGUGGUUUCUUAAGUCUGAUGUGAAAGCCCACGGCUCAACCGUGGAGGGUCAUUGGAAACUGGGGAACUUGAGUGCAGAAGAGGAAAGUGGAAUUCCAAGUGUAGCGGUGAAAUGCGUAGAUAUUUGGAGGAACACCAGUGGCGAAGGCGACUUUCUGGUCUGUAACUGACACUGAGGCGCGAAAGCGUGGGGAGCAAACAGGAUUAGAUACCCUGGUAGUCCACGCCGUAAACGAUGAGUGCUAAGUGUUAGAGGGUUUCCGCCCUUUAGUGCUGCAGCUAACGCAUUAAGCACUCCGCCUG